rnacentral:lncRNA from 1 species
GAGAAGGUGAAUACCUCUCUAGUGAGUUUCUGAUAUAUCUAGAAGAGAAUAGGAUUCUCUCAUAAUGGAUCCCUCUAGGGACACCACAGCAUAAUGGCAUCUUGGAAAGAAGAAAUUGAAAUCCUAUUGGAUAUGGCCUGGUCCAUGAUGGGCUUUGCUAAUCUGUCGAUCUCUUUUUAGGAAUAUGUAUUCGAGUCAGCUUGCUAUGUACUUAAUAAGAUUUUGAGUAAGUUUGUAAAUA